GAUGAACGCUGGCGGCGUGCCUAACACAUGCAAGUCGAACGAGGUAAAUAAGAGGAAGUUUUCGGAUGGAAUCGUAUUUACCGAGUGGCGGACGGGUGAGUAACGCGUGGGUAACCUACCUUAUACUGGGGGAUAACAGUCAGAAAUGGCUGCUAAUACCGCAUAAGCGCACGGCGCCGCAUGGCUCAGUGUUAAAAACUCCGGUGGUAUAAGAUGGACCCGCGUUGGAUUAGCUAGUUGGCAGGGCAGCGGCCUACCAAGGCGACGACCCAUAGCCGGCCUGAGAGGGUGAACGGCCACAUUGGGACUGAGACACGGCCCAGACUCCUACGGGAGGCAGCAGUGGGGAAUAUUGCACAAUGGGGAAACCCUGAUGCAGCGACGCCGCGUGAAGGAAGAAGUAUCUCGGUAUGUAAACUUCUAUCAGCAGGGAAGAUAAUGACGGUACCUGACUAAGAAGCCCCGGCUAACUACGUGCCAGCCGCCGCGGUAA
rnacentral:rRNA from 1 species